GAGUAAAUAGUUUAAACAAAAUUUUGGUUUGUGGGCUCAGAGAUGUAAUUGAUAAGUUACUUUAUUCC
rnacentral:tRNA from 1 species